CAGCAGCCGCGGGAAUACGUAGGUGGCAAGCGUUGUCCGGAAUUAUUGGGCGUAAAGGGCUCGCAGGCGGUUUCUUAAGUCUGAUGUGAAAGCCCCCGGCUCAACCGUGGAGGGUCAUUGGAAACUGGAAAACUUGAGUGCAGAAGAGGAAAGUGGAAUUCCAUGUGUAGCGGUGAAAUGCGCAGAGAUAUGGAGGAACACCAGUGGCGAAGGCGACUUUCUGGUCUGUAACUGACGCUGAUGUGCGAAAGCGUGGGGAUCAAACAGGAUUAGAUACCCCCGUAGUCCCUGUCUCUUAUAC
rnacentral:rRNA from 1 species